CCCGUAAUGAAAAAAAGGGUGUGCACCCACACACCCGACAAAGAGAAUAUGUGGUGUGUUUUAUACACCUGUCGGGGGAUUGCGGGUGUGCACACCGUGCAUAGACGCAGGAUUUUUUUUACGUCUUCUUCGGUCGUGAACUUGGCAACCAGUAUUGUGAAGGAGUGUUUAGGCAGCCAAAAGCACAGACACCUGGACGAGCCGAGGCGCACCUUCUCUACUAUGACCCUCCUAGCUGGACGACGACGAAGUGGGUCGACGUAGGGCGGCGGCGGCGGUCCGACGCGAACGGCGGCCGAGCGCGGCGCUUGUGGAGGAGGCUCGGCUGGCGGCGCGCGGACUCCCGCCACGAGCUCGUCCACCUGCUGCUCGACGCCUUCCCCUUGCUGCUCCGGCGCGACAGGGAGCACGCGCCGAGCGUCCCCCUCCCGCCGCCCGAGGCCACGAAACCGCGGCGCUCCGUCCAUGGAGUUUCCGAAAUAUUUGAUCUACUCGAAUUCGAUUUACCCUAGCUAUGAAGAAGAAAGGAUAGAGGACACCUAGUCUGAAACCCUAGUUAACUCUCUUUAGAGGUUUAACGGCGCGAAGAACCUCCCGAAAGACAAAGUAAACGCAAACUCGACAGAGUUGAGGUUCGAGACGAAUGGAAACAUCCGGACGAUAAGCACACCAGACAACUAAACUAUAUAAUGUUACCUCCCCGCUCUUUGAACCAAGAACUGUGUUAACGAGUGUCAGAGUCGCUCUUCAUGGUGUUGUCUCAAUAACUCGUACUUCGACCAGUGAAGAACUAUCGUAUGAACGAACCUCACGAAGGCUUCCUUAUAUGAUAGUGUACAAAUCUAUGUGAAUACUUUGUUCCUAGUGACUUGCACGUUCGACCCUGUCGAAAACACCUGAAACUCAAACAACUUCUCUAGUUAUGUCCGUUUGACAGACGCUUCCACUCUCAGAGAUUUAAUAAUAACAAACGUUUCGUGCAUUUUUACUACAUUCUACAAUAGCGACAAGAAGUUCCAGAUGAAGGUUUAGGACCGUUUUUUAUCUCCAGACGAAGGUUGAUAUAUAACCGUAGUCUUGAGUGUCGACGGUGUUACCUAUGUGACUAAUACACGAAAGUGGCUUCAAUUUUAAAUUUCUACUAGUUUUAUCACAACCCAGUAAAGUUUAUACCUUUUCGAAAUAACUACAUUUUUGUGUGUGAUCCGUUGAUCAUUAGGGGUAAGGUUUCGAGAGAUGAACCAAAUUAAGCUGGAUUUCGCUGAUGGUAAAAUUGUGUAUUAAUCGUAUAAGACCCUACCCGUGUUAAUAACGCUUGGGUACUUGAUGACGAAAAAGUCACUAAUCUAUACAUGUUUCAGUAUUCCAUAAUGUACUAACAACAGAAGACUAUCGCUAAGUCUAAACACUAACUGGACCGUUAUUCAACCUAGAUUACCGUCUACGACUUGUUCAAGAGUACAUAACGUGACCGGCCUCAUCGUUGACUUAUAGAAGACAUGCCUAUGCGGCUUCCUCCUGAUCUACUGCAAUUGUUCCAAAAAGCCGUAAUCAAAUGAAUGCAAGAUUCAACUGUUUGUAUACAUUGGGUUAGGAGAUUAAUAGACGAGACACGAAAGCACAAAGAAGGUAAUUGUCAACCUACCUGACAAGUUCUCGGACCCAAAAUGGGUCUUGUUUCGACUAAGUGUCCACUCCACCCGACACGAUUUGUAGCAAGACUAGGACGCGGCGGUACUUUUCCGAUCUAGCUUCGAAUUCCUCCGUUACAGAAGACCCUCCAGUCAACCUAGAACGUAGCUCCAGUAUCUUCUCUUGUAUUUGGGGCUCCUAUAAACUAUCGACUACCCUUGAGACUUGUGACCUCUGUCACGUGUGACCACGACCUAGUAUGUCUAACGUCAGCAUAUUUGGAAACAUCACAUAAACAGAAACAUGACAUAUAAGUCAAACAUUAAACUGUUACCUCCGGCUCAGAUGUUAAAGAACCGGAGCUGAUGUUGCGUCUUUGUGUCAACCAUUAGCCACGCUGCGACAUUGGGGUUUCGUAAUUGGUUUGCCUUCAACCUGAAGUAAAAGUC
rnacentral:rRNA from 1 species